GGACCGACCCUUCGGGGAGCUGUUACAGGGUGUUGCAUGGCUGUCGUCAGCUCGUGUCGUGAGAUGUUCGGUUAAGUCCGCUAGCGAGCGCAAACCCGCGUUGUGUGUUAUAUGUGUCACACAAUACCGCCGGGUAUUAAGCCGGAGGAAGGUGCGGAUGACGUCAAGUCAGCAUGACCUUUAUAUCCAGGGCUACACACACGCUACAAUGGACAGUACAACAGGUUGCCAAGGCCGCGAGGCGGAGCCAAUCCUCUAAAGCUGUCCUCAAGUUCAGAUUGCAGGCUGCAACUCGCCUGCAUGAAGUUGGAGUUGCUAGUAACCGCAGGUCAGCUAUACUGCGUUGAAUACGUUCCCGGGGCUU
rnacentral:rRNA from 1 species